AAUCAAACAUGUCUCUGGUCUGCAGCCCAAGGGGCAGAUCUGUGAGUUUACUGCUAUGAAUUCCUCUGUACGGGAGCCUCCCGUCAGCACUUGGCUAAGGGGGAUUCAUUACAGGGAUGGGGAUUUGGCUGCAACAGAGUUAAAGCUUCAUUUUUCUCUCCCCAGUGCUGUGCUCAUUGUAACUCCUCUCCAGAUGUUUUCUCUCUGCCACGUAGGGGGAGGUGAUGGAUUUAGAUGAGCCAGAGGAGGAGAGAAAGAAAUGAAUCGGCUAGGGCAGGAAACAUUCUCAUAAGACACACAAUAUGUAGGUCCCUUGUUUUAUGUGGUUCUAUUUCUAGAAAUGAGGAGGAGGCCUGAUCCAAGAAACGAUGCCAAGAUCAGAGGUCUAGUUGUCCUCGUGCUGGUGGAGGAGGCAGAGAAGCACACCCAGCUGAAAGACUCCCCGCAGCUUUUUCUCAAGUACAAGAAAGAACUGAUUGUGUCAGGUGUGGUCAAUGCCAUUGAAUACCACCACUUCCCUGGAAACAUCCAAAGAAUACAGCAACUGGUGGACACUGAGGGAGGUGGCAGUGACAGGUCCAGGACCCUGACCAAAUCUUGCUGGUAAGUCCUGCUCAAUAUGUUAUUCUGUUUCAUUUCUGUCAUAAGGACAUGGACACCUAGCCAAAAAGAAA
rnacentral:lncRNA from 1 species